GGCUCCCGCAUAAAAUCUACAAUUACCGACAGUGCACGGGCGCGAGCACGCUCGUGAACUCGUGUCAAUCCUCGAUGCACUUUAUUGCACGCGAUACAAAGGGCAAGAACGUAAUAAGGUAAAGUAUACAGUUUAAUUAGGAUCCUGUGCCGGCGCGGGUUCCCAUUAAGCCAUUUGCAUGUAAACUAUUCAGUGUGGAGUAGCCUCUCUAACAGUAACGUAAUUUCGAGUGUGGCGAAUAAAUAUCCGUGGGAACAUCGGUUUGGUCUGUUUGUCGCGAAUAAAACAAGUUUUCAUAUAAAGUUUUACCAUAUAUUUUUGUUUCGUUUUCUUUUGGUUGCUUAUUCACGGUUUAUGUUCAAAGUUUGAAAGCGUAUUACUUUAUUGCUCUAUUGAAAGUUCGCGACCAAGAAACGAUCGUUAUUUUUUAUUGAAAUUUUUAUUAUAGUUAAGUUAAUUUGAAAUAUGAAUUCAUUUUUAUGAAUCAUCGAAUAAGAAUUUUUUAAAUAAAGAUUUAUUAAAAGCGCCUAGUAAAAUAAUUUCAAAAAAUUCUACGAAGCUAUCCUAGAAUUUAUUAUCCUAGAAUCAUCUCCUGAUUUAAAGAUAAUUUGGAACGCAUUUAAUGAAAAUUUAGCUAUCCGCAUGUGAAAUUUACUGCAACGGAGAGAAUUAAUACUUUUAAACAAUAAAAAUAAAAAAUAUUUCAACUUAUUUCAUUUAGAAUAAAAUAUCAUCUGUAUAUUUUUUAUUUACAUUGAAUUUCUAUAAUUUACGUUAUUAUAAACUUUUAAUAUCGAAUAAAAUUUCAAAAUAUUUUUCAACAUCGUUAAAUCUAUGCUAUUUAACAAUUUAUAGUUCUAUUUAAUAAUUCUUUUAUUCGUUAUAAAAUAUUUUUAAUUGUAUUUACAUGUGAUAAUUGCUCGCUAUUUCAAUAGUACAUAAAAGAUAUUACGGUGUUUAAUAUAACAAGGAACACAUAGUGUACAAGAGAACAGUAUUGCAUCGCAACAUAACAAAACAAUUACAUAAGAUAAUGUGGAACAAGUUAUGUACGGAGCAAGAACCGGAAAUUUAAUGUCUGUGCUGAUGAUACGGAACGUGGAUUUCAUACAGUGAAACCCUAUCUAUGUAACUUUCAAUGCGAUGUUUAACCAAUAAAAAUUCUUAAUGUUUGUAAUUUUUUAGAAAUUGAUAUAUCUACGGUCGAUAAUCAAAAUUAUAAUGACAAUAAACUAGAUUUUAAUUGAAUAUUAAAAUUUUAAUUUCUAUAUCGAAUAAUAAAAAAAGAUUAAUCCUUCUUUAUUAACUUAAACUAACAAAAGCUAACCUCCAAGUUGAACAAAAAAUUAGAUAUCAAGAAUAAUAGAACUUUUAUAUGAAUUGCUUCCUGAAAGUUGCAGAAGGCUAUAAAUAAACGUAAGUUCAUCUAAAAGCAAACACAUACGACGCUUAAAUCGACGAAGAACCUCAUUGGAAAGAGUGUGUAUACGCAAAUAGUAGUUCCGGUAAUAACAGUACUGCCAGUCAAGUAUCACAGGUGCUAUUCGCUCGUAGUAAAGCUUGAUCGAGUUUAUGCGGCCGAAUCAACGGGGAGAAACCUGGUGGGCGACGAGCAAGAAGGGGAAGAGCGUAGGCCUGGAGCGGAAGCUGAUGUCGUUUUACGGGGUUGAUCACCCUGUCGGGCUCCAGUAGACCAGCUCCCAUCUGCGGCCCCAGGACACCACCAGGGCCGAUCAGUCCCCCUUCACCGAGGACCAAGGACAACAGGAAGGACGCCGACAAGCUGUUGGACGGCUUGAUCGACUCGACUCGAGUUCGAGGUUCGAGGUUAUCCGGCGUAAGUCCCGCCGUUUCGCGCUGACACCGUAGGAACCACCUAUCGAGUCGAACUCGAGUUCGUUGGCCCCCUCUGUCGGUCAAAAGCCGACGUUUCCCGCGCGCCACGGGAUAUAUGUAUAGCAAGCACGCAAACGAGUUACACGAAACCGGACUUUUCACUUGUCACACUUUAUCUUGAUUUCCUUGAUCCACGGUAAUCCCAGGGUCAAGGAGCAGGUUUCUCGAAAAACACUUGUGCCAGCGAACUUCUUCCGUAUCAAUGGUGGAUCGUUGCAUUUACGUGUGUUCGAACCGUAACUCUCUCUGAUCCAUGAAAAAGAAACGUAUUAAAUGAAGCUUCAUGGAGAUGCGGCAAUCGGUAAGUCGUCACGGAAUCAAACAAUCAGAAUGCUCAGCGCUCGUUCUUGUUUUAUAUACUACGUAACCUUUCUAUCUUACUCUUUUUCUUACCCCGUGACUGAAGAUGAUACACAAUUGUAACGCGCAUUCACGUUAAGAAAAGAAAAACUAUAGUUGUAAUCACAAAUGUCGUUAUGAUUCGUCGUUAUUCGUCUCUUUCUUUCUUUGAACUGACAAUAUUUCGUGUUGUCCUCUUUAAAUAGCAGUGAAGAUCGUGCACAAGACACACCGCUAACGAUCGCUUCCAAUAAUCGUUACCACAGCAGGUCCUAGUGACACGUUAGUAUGCCAUCAUAAAAAUGUCACGUGUGUUCUGCGGAUUCACGUACGAACACGACACUCGUAUGCACGUAGCAAGGCGCCUUUCACUUUAACGACGGCGCGGGAGAUGCCUGCGCAUCCGCUAGAUUCCUCUUUACAGAUCGUGUCUUCGAUCGUCGAUUCGUGAAUGUCGAAAGACUGAUCACCCACAGAUUUCUUCCUUUCUCUCCAUUGAAUCUCACAGUGGUAUUAUCGGUAUCGAAGUACAAUGGAAUACAGAAAAACCGUUGUAAUUCCGUUUGGAAACACGAAUUUAAUCUUCGCUCUCUAGCAAACGGAUCGAGAUUCUGUAUAUAACGUGCUUUUGACGAAUACCUUUCUAUUUGUAAAUUUCCAGUUUCCUUUCGUGUGAAUGCCGCUCCGUGAAGCGUUUAAUGUAUUCCUCUUUACAUCGAUCCCUGAUGUACAUUCUAGAAUGAGAUUUUAGAUUGGCCGUUAUUAGUGUGAAAGGACUUGCGGGCGUCCACAGUGGCGUAGCCAACGAUUACAAAGUUGGAAAUUUUUAUUAAUUUAUAACACGAAUUGAAUCUUGAGAAUAAUAAUCCUCAUUCCUGCCGAAAUAUUCCUAACCUCUCGAACAGACAUGGCCGACUGUAUACGAUGAUCAAAAGAUGAUUACUAUUUAAAAUGUUUGCUACGCCACUGCUUCCUUGCGACGGGAACGAGAGGAUAUCUCGAUCGUCUGCGCCGGUCGUUCGUUUCUUUGCGUGGCGUGAGUGAAUUUUAAAAAAUCACCAUGCUCCUCGCGCCUCUGCCGAUUUAUCUACAACGCGCAACAGACACACGCAUUUAUCGUUGCGCGUUCUGCAUGCGAAACUAUAGGCGCGCACAUGUGCGUGAACACUUUGCGCAGCAGGUGCGCUACGGGGAUAAAGAUAACGACGAGACUAACCGCAUCGUCGGCGUAAUAUCCAACGCGGUAAUCUAAUAACUUUUUCCAGAGCUCGAUUCCCACAGAUCAUCUCUCUCAUCCUUUCUCUUUACGCGUCUCUUUUGUACAUCACGACGAUGGAAAUAUAUAAGUACAUAGAGAAGGAAAUAUUUGAAUCGAGGAUAUAAUAGACAUUUUUCUUGUACAAGAAUUUAGGAUAUAAAUGUUCAAAAUUUUUACGAUUGAAAAAUCUUUUAUUUAUUGUACAUAAUAUUUUUGAUUGUCAUUGAUUGUUAAUCACAACAUAUGUUGAAGAGAGACAAAAUAUCAAAAAAAUAUGCGAUAUUUAAAAUAUAAAAAUAUAGAAUAUGAAGAUUCUAAUAAAAAACAAA